rnacentral:rRNA from 1 species
UGGGGAAUAUUGCACAAUGGAGGGAACUCUGAUGCAGCAACGCCGCGUGCGGGAUGACGGCCUUCGGGUUGUAAACCGCUUUCAGCCAUGACGAAGCUUUUGUGACGGUAGUGGUAGAAGAAGCACCGGCUAACUACGUGCCAGCAGCCGCGGUGAUACGUAGGGUGCGAGCGUUGUCCGGAAUUAUUGGGCGUAAAGAGCUUGUAGGCGGUUUGUCGCGUCGAUAGUGUAAACACGCAGCUUAACUGUGUGCCUGCUGUCGAUACGGGCUGACUAGAGGAGGGUAGGGGAGAAUGGAAUUCCCGGUGGAGCGGUGGAAUGCGCAGAUAUCGGGAGGAACACCAGUGGCGAAGGCGGUUCUCCGGACCUUUCCUGACGCUGAGAAGCGAAAGCGUGGGUAGCAAACAGG